GCAGUAGCAUUGGCUGGAGUUGUUAAGAAGCAGGCAUGGCUUGGCAGCAAUUUUACACAGAUUGUUUGCACCAAAAUUAUUUCUCACCAGAACCUGGUUAGGAGGUGGCCAGAGCCUUAGAAAUGGCCUUUCAAGCAAGCCAGGUAUUUCUGCAGUGAUGAGUUGACCAGGCUGUGCAAGAUGGGCCGUUUAUUCUAAGCAGCUGCCAGGCCUGGCUGGUUUGACUGUCUGAGGUCACACCUGGUGUGUCCUGGGGACCUCCGAGAGCACUAACACUGGGCUUUGUAACCGUGUCAUAGAUACUACAUAGUGACAUUUACAUGUUAAACAUUUCCAGUAGCUCCCAGGAGUGCUAUUAAAAUUGGCUUGCAAUUACAGCGUGGCUACAAAAUACUGCCCAGAAGGUGAAUCAGCAGCAUAUGCAUUUACAGAUAGUUUUUGAGUGAAUACAGCCAUGCAGCUUAGUGAUUCAUAGCUGCAGUACUUCAAACAUUUAUGUUAUCUAAUCAGAUGAAGUUCAAGAUGAAUGUAGAGGGAAAUGCCUCACAUUCUAAAUUGAUUUGUUAUCAGAACUAUUUAUCAGGGUCAUGAAAAAGGCUUUAAGAAAAUUUCUUCCAAGUACUUAAAAGUCUAGCAUUUAUUUUCAACCCUGGCCCAAAUCUUUGUCAUCCAUAAACAUAUGUAGUCUUCUGUGGAUUUGACGCAGAAUAAAAUGCCAUAUAUAAAUAAAAAACAAGGUACCUGAAAUUGCUAAUGGUUCUGCAACAGCCCCACUAACCACUGCUGAUAUUGAGCAUCAUGAGAUUCUUGUACCUAAACAAGACACCAGUUCUGCUGUGUGAAUGAAGUAAGUCACAUCAACUAUGGCCUCUGAAAACAGAUGCCUAUAAAAAACACUUCGACCCAGUAGUCUUCUAGCCUUGUCUCAGUCUUGUGGAACCAAAGUAAAGGGGGAUGGCAGAUCCUGAAACUCGACAAGGGGAAUAUAGGGUCAACCACAUCUCCAUGGAGCCUUCAACAGAGCCAGAGUUUGUCAGAUGAACUUGUGAUGUGAGCUGCAGAAAGAGCAUUAGAGAAGAGCCUAGAACAGACAUAUGGGCUCCAGCAGAUGCAUCUGAAACACUAUGUCAUCAUCUAGAGCUGAAAUAAUUUUCAAAUUUGCUCCUAAACAGUGGCAAGCAGCACCCUUCAAGAUCAACUGAGUCAAAGGAGGCUUUGAUUUUAAUUUUUAAUGUAAAAAAUUCUCCAAACAAUCUUAUAGUAUCAUCACUGACGUAAAUCAACUAGAUGAGCAAAAAAGAACCUGUCUAUCAGAGAUAUCCUGCCUCCACUCCUCCAUACACAGCUGGAUCUGUCCUGAGGUACACUGAUCUUGGAGGAUUUAAUCCAGACCCUGACUCUGAGGUUUUAUAUGAAUAAAAAGGAGGAUCCUGUGUGCUUAAGGAUUCUGUACUCCAGCCCAGAUCUCUGAUACAGAACAUAUGCUAAAAUAUAAUCAACAUAGUGGAACUGGAAGAAUGUGGUCUUCCCCACUGCAGUGGCUGACAGAGGCAGCAGACACCUGAGCCACUUAGUGGGCAUCACCAAAGACAGAGAACUUGAAAUAUUUAUUUUAGUUCAAGACUAUGUCAAUGCCAAGUUGUUCUUCUGAAAGAUGCUGCCCUCAGGACUCUCUAGACCUUGGAACACAUGCACCACCAGCAGUUGGUGAGGACACAGAAGAUUUUGUUCUCAAAGACAUGGCCCAGCAAUUGUCUUGUUAUCUUGUACACUUCUUAAUGUGUCCAGAGAAGGUCCAUGUGAUGUCUGCUGAAAGUUGAAGGUGUGCUCAUGACCAUGGACUUUGCAUAACACAUGUACUGUCAAUAGUGUUGUAAUAUGGGGCACAGUGUUGUGCAGCCCACAAAUGAUGAUGAUGACAUGUGCAAGUCACCGAUGGUGCAAUGGAUCUUCACACUUAUCUUCUUCAUAAGAAAGUGUGAUGUGAGGAAGGCCCUAACUAUUUAAAUGCAUAAAGAUGCAUAUCUUAUUAGAUAAACUUUUCUUAUGAUUUUUCUAAAUCGUCUGAGGUAGAAAGUGGAAGCAGUGUUGCAUUGGAAAAUAUGGUUUCAGCACAAUACCCAACCCACUUUGCAUGCGGCUAUUGCUCAAAUGAGAAAAAACGAGUGUCAUGAGCCAGCUGGACACAUCUUUUUCCCAUCUGUUCUGUAUUUAUUUAUUUCUUCAACAUUUGGUUUACUGCUUAAUGUUUGUUUUUCAUAUUCAGUACUCAGUGGAGAACUACAAAAAGCCAUCAACACUUCCUUCCCUCCCAGCCAUCCUACAGUUCCCACAGUCAAACAUGGCUGCAAAACCAAGCACAAGCUUUGUCGCCAAGCAGGCUGGUGUUUUAUUUAUGUGCCUAUAACACUGUCAAUUGCUGUAUAUUUUCCAGCUAUCUUCAGGCACUCAUAAUAUAAAUAGCAUAAUAUUCUCCAGGAUAAAGUAAAAUCUAAUUUGACUUCUCCCAAAGAAUAAAUUAUGAUCUAAUAGAUCAACUAAUCAUAAUACUAAAGCUAAUACAGGAGCAAUCCUAAAUCCUCAAACCCUUUCUUUACUUCCCACUUCAAAAGACAAGAAACACAAUGUCUUUAUUCUUGGAAAAUUUAAGAGGUAUUCUUGGGGGAAGGACUGGAGGAAAACGAAUCCUAAUGCUAAGUGUGUCUCAUAGGAUGUACCUUUCAGUUCUGAUUUAGGUCAGUCAAUGCAUCUCUAGGAAUUGUCAAGGCUGCUAACCUGCUUUGGAAAGCAAUUUCACAGAUACAGUCUCACUAAAUUAGUUUAGUUUUGUUCUUAUGAAAUGGUUUCUUCAUACUCACUAAUAUUUGUGUUGUAGUACUGCUGCUGGAGAGACACAAGAAAAGAGAACUGGGAGAAGUCAAGAGUUACCAGUGACCAUAAGCUUAAUAAAUGUUUAGUGGUACAAUACAUCACAUAACAACCACCACUCCUGGCAGCGGGGAGAUCCAGAGCCAGAUCAACUUUUACUUGCUUAAAAACAACUAAACCCUAAACACUCCCAAACAUCUCAGAUCUAGCAAGCCUAGGAAGCCUAAAUGCCAGAAGUGUAGUUCUGAAGGUGCUGCCAACCAUGUUGCAUGGUUUGUGUUUGGCUUUACUGCAGCUCAGCAGAGAGCGCUGCUACAAGCACUCUCUAUCAUUUUUGCUGGGCCAGGAAUACAAGCUGAAGUUACCAGUUUUAUCAUCACUGCAGGAAAAUCUGGUUUUAUCUGGAAGGAACAACCACUUGAAGUGUUAUCCCGCAUGUCUAAGCUUGGCAAUGUCUACAUUUUUUUUCAUGAAACCACUUCAUGUACCAUUGUUUGGAAGACCACAACUACUCAGAUCUUGGCUUUUGCCUGAAUUUCUCAUCUUGUAGCUCCAUGCAGUGCAGUUCCACUGCCAUGCUCAUGACUGCAGUACUGGAUUUACAGUUUCACUUGGUUUUGAGCAUACUUGUUGAGGAACUGCAACACUCAUCCAGAAAGAAUAAGGAAGGAGGACAGAGCGUGCACCAACUAGGAGAGCAGAGCAGGAGGUGGACGGUACAACAAGUAUUCCUGCUAUUGCUGUAUUGCUGUGGGCAUAACUUGAAUUCCUAACUAUCACUAGUAAACAAUUCCUUACAAAUAUUUUGUUUGUUAAUGUUGUUAAAUGAAACAUUGUUAAUGAAAUUGUAGUAUUAGUUCAUUCUGCUGUUAUGAUGGUGGACUACAAAACAGUCCAGAUUUCCCACCUACCAUAUUUUACACA